AAAUAAGGCAAGCGCCCAGUUGUAACCAAUCUCUUUGUUUCUGUACCUGAUUUCUGGUUCCUGUACAUCACUUUACCUUUUUUGUCUAUAAAUUCAUUUUGACCACGAGGCACCCCCGGAGCCUCGGUGAAUCUGCUGUGAUUUUGUAGGCUGCCGGAUUCACAAAUUGUUUGUUGCUUAAUGAAACUCCUUUAAGUUUAAUUCAGCUGAAGUUUUUCUUUUAUCAGAUGGUGUCACAAGAAGGAUCUGAAGUGGAGCUUCUAGUAUCCCCAGGAGCGCGAAGUGAACACGGAAGGUACCUGCAGGAUCCAAUUGUGUCCAUUGAUCUCUCAGAGUGGCUGAGGAUAAUAGAGUUUCUUCUUCAAGGUCUCAAGGUCUGAAGCAUCCCACAGAAUGAUCCUACUGAAUAACUCCCAUAAGCUGCUGGCCCUAUACAAAUCCUUGGCCAGGAGCAUCCCUGAGUCCCUGAAGGUCAGGGAACAGUGGGAGGUCAGGGUAUGGGAGUAGGGGUGUUGAGGAUGAGAAAAUAGCAGGCUUGUGAUUCUAGUCCUUCCUGACUGUUUGCAG
rnacentral:lncRNA from 10 species